rnacentral:lncRNA from 1 species
CUGAUGGAGAGAGCAGCUAUCUGACCCACUAUUAAACUUGUUCUUCUUGAUUACAAAGAUUCAAAUACAAAGAGUUUCAAGAUUUAAAAUUUUUCAUAAAUCUACCAUUUUCCCGAAUCCUUGAAAACUGCACUUUCUCUCUCCUAUGGCGGCUGCACUGAAAACAUAACAACAUUUAUACUGCUUUUGGCGCAUGGGGCGUAGCUUCUGGCGCAUGAAGCGCAGAAGGAAGAAGCUGCCCCCAAUCCUGCAAAUUCCUGCGCAUCAUACUCCCAUUCCUGCGCAUAGUGCGCAAACUCCAGUAGCUACCACAGUUUUGAACAUUGUUUUCCAAGACAACUCUGAACAGUAUCAUCUAAGAAAGUACACAACAACCAUU